UAUGUUUGCAAAUGCACUGAAAACAUAUUAUGUGUGAUUUACUCAAACAUGUUUUGUUUCUCCUCUCAAUGCUAUUUAAUUACUUGCAAUCAAUGCAACACGAAGCAAAAUCAGAUCUACUAGUUUGAAUUAUGUAGGGGGAGUGUGAACCAAUAAAGCUAAUUCAUGACGAGUAAUGAGUAACAAUUCAAACCUUGGGAGAGAAGAAUCUUCCAGAAAGAACGCUGGCGCGUUAGCGGAGAAGACAGUACCUAGAAUCUUGGUCAAGGUCCAUGAUGUUUGCCUACUAUACUACAUUUGUGCUGCUUUGUCUACCCAUUCAAAGGCUAUAUAGUGUUGUGUUGUGGAAAUGUAAGGGGUGUUCAGAAUUGGUGUCAAGUAGGUCCCAACUUUUGCAUCAUUACAAGUUAAAGCACCCACAUUACAGCUGUACUGUCCAUUACCCAGAGACUAAGAAACAAGAUGUAAACUCCUGCAAUUAUGAAAAUCAUCCUGAUUGAUUGGCAGCUGCCAGAGACUGACCUUCCCUUGUGGACUACCUGAAUCUGUGACUGACCUUUUGAACGAUGUAAAGAAGUAGUGUGGACUUCACGGCAACUUCAGACUUCAGUUCAUGGACCCUAUUUUUGGAAAUUAGUUAUUUAACCUGAAGUCAAUGGCAGAAGUAGAGGACAAAGGUACUCUUAAAGUUAUUGACAUGUUAGAGACCCCCACAAUUCACUGUGCUGAAACCUCCAGCAGAAUCAACACCCCAUUCCCGACAACCUCCGCCUUCAAUUGUCACCACAUCGAUGACUCGUCAACACUAUCCAGUGGCUCAGUUGAUACUGACAUACUGUCUUUUCCAGAGUCUACUAGCUCACGGUCCUCUUGGCCUACUUUGUUCUGUGUGCCUAGAUUCUCCUAUGAUGCUGAGAUAAAACUUCAGCAGGCCAAUUCAGCUUACCUUGAAAGUGGCACUCUACUUGUUCCAGAGCCUAAGUUGAAGUCAGACAUACGCAACGGCUUGUUGCAAGAAAUUGUCCAGUAUAAAGUUUAUGCCACUGAUGGAGAGAUGCAACAGGUUGCAGAGUCUAAUCAAGAAGCAUCCAUGUUUGACUGAGAAGUAUUCCUUCACUGGAUGUGGCGGAUGGAAAAGCAGUUUGAAAUACAAACUGGCAAACUACCGCACUCGCCUGAGAAGACUGGGAUGUCCAGAGGUGACAAACUCCUUGAAGCACAAACCUGCAGGGAAGUCAAGUGCAGCCUAUGGUGUUAAAAAGGCAAAGAGAGCAGAAAUGAACUUUUGCCCCACAUAUCCCUCAGGAGAAACAGAAGAGAGCCUUGAGGACAUGCGAAAAGCUCUACUCUCCGAUGUGAAGAAAAGGAAUAACAGAGAGACAGUGAAGUUCAAAAUGGAGAAAAUGUUUGCAUACAAGAGACAUGAAGUUGUCCGUGGUAGAGGACUUCAUGGCAAGAUGGCCUGCGCUCUUUGAAGUCAUUGAGGUCAAUGCUGAGUUUAAGAGAAUCACCACAACCCCACUCUAGUCCAAAUUUCUUUCUCAACUUGAUAUACACGUAGAUAACCUGCUGAAGUUGUUCCAAAGAAGAGGAGGUCAGCUGGGCAGAAGAAUCAUAUCAAUCAUGGCACCAAUUGCUGAUGGCAUGGAUGAAGAGUCCACUAUGCCAGCCAUUGAGUACACUACUGUGGGGAUCUACAUUAUCACAGACCAUGCAGUGAGUGAGUUACCAGAGGACACUGGGAUUGUCCUUGAAGGCGUCAAGGUGCUGCAGGAUCUGGGCAACGUAACAUUUGCUGUUGCAAUGCUGUUCAGCCUCAUGUAAGCCAUGAACCUCAGUUACCCUACUGAGCUCCGCCACACCUUUGAAGUCUUUCAGAAGGUUUUUAUGGAACUAAAUGGGGACAAACUUUCUAACAAAGCUGUUGCAUUUAAAAACAGGCUGUUUCAGUGAGCUGUUUUGUUUUGUGUUGUGUUUCAGACUAUAAUGUUGUGUUUCACACUGUAUGUUUGACUUAUGUUGAACUUGUUAUAUUGUUCACAAAAACUCAAAACAGAAUGAGCAUGUCCAAAGAUGGAGCUAUCGUGAUUUUGUUAGAUAUUUUGUAUGGUGUUUUGAGUAGAUGCCCUUAAUUGUCUUUGCGGCUUAUGGAAAAAGUUCAGUUUCACUUUGUAGUGACUUUUAGUCAAUAGAAUUAACAUGCACAAAUAUGUACACAUACAGUGGGGAGAACAAGUAUGUGAUACA